UACGAAGGGGGCUAGCGUUGCUCGGAAUUACUGGGCGUAAAGCGUGCGUAGGUGGUUCGUUAAGUCUGAUGUGAAAGCCCUGGGCUCAACCUGGGAAUGGCAUUGGAUACUGGCGAUCUAGAGUGCGGUAGAGGGCAGUGGAAUUCCCGGUGUAGCAGUGAAAUGCGUAGAGAUCGGGAGGAACAUCUGUGGCGAAGGCGACUGCCUGGACCAGCACUGACACUGAGGCACGAAAGCGUGGGGAGCAAACAGG
rnacentral:rRNA from 1 species